rnacentral:misc_RNA from 1 species
GAUGAAGAACGUAGUGAAAUGCGAUAAGUAAUGUGAAUUACAGAAUUCAGUGAACCAUCGAAUCUUUGAACGCACAUUGCGCCCGGCAGUAAUCUGCCGGGCAUGCCUGUCCGAGCGUCAUUUCUGCCCUCGAGCGAGUCCAGCAUCUAGGUGCUGGGCCCGCCCGGCGUUGGGGCACUACGGGAAGCCCUGUGCUGUCCCCCGUAGGCCCCGAAAUGAAGUGGCGGUCCUGCCGCGGCGCCCCCUGCGUAGUAUAACAGCUCGCUUCGGGACCCGGUGGAGGCCUGCCGUAAAACCUUACUCUCUAAGUUUGACCUCGGAUCAGGUAGGGUUACCCGCUGAACUUAAGCAUAUCAAUAAGCGGAGGA